AGCUGAUAAUCUUGGGAUCUUUGGGAGGAGAUUUAGAGUUUGUCAAUGCAACCAUGUCCAUUCCUCUUAUAAUUAUAUCACUGUGACAGGGUUUUGAAUUGCCCUCUUGAAUCCAUUUAGAGCACAGCUCUGCCACGGGCAGCACUGGUGAUGUAGCAAGGCUUUGCUUCAUUUUAGGAUUAUGUAAGUUUUCCUUUUUAUUUUUUUUCCCCCAGGAUUUUACCGCUCUGAAGGUUAAAAAGAGGGAAGCAGCUGUUCCCACGCCUCAGCAGCACAAACACCUCGAGCCUUCAAACGCUCCUGAGAGGAAUCAGUGGGACAGCAGCGAGCGAGGGAGCGCUUGGGCCGCUGCCAAAAGCAGCGAGCCUCGAGCGGAGCCGCCUCUUAUCUGGGCAAUCUCGGAGCGCUGCAGCCGUUUCGCAAGUGACGCUCCAGCACGGAGCUCAGCUCUCCCUCGAUGUGAAAAGCACCCAUUGGAGCUGAAGAAGAGAAUAAUCCCAGAGCUGCUGGAGCUGGAUUUGCUGUUCAUUCACUCAUUCAUUCAUGCUCUGCUGGCCCCGUGGUGGCAGCUGCCACCCCACACCCUGAGUGCGUCUCACACUUUCCCCGCAGCCUUCUCGUGUGCUGGGGUGUAACACUUGGAGCCUUGGACAACAGCAAAACCAGUCAAUUAUGUUUGCACCCUGCCUGCCUUGAAAGCCCUGGAGUGUGUCUGGUGUGAGCACAGCCAGGGGAAUGCAGGAGCUCAUGAUAAAUUCCAAACAAAAGCACCAUUAUCCAUAUGGGACCUCGUGAGUGCUUCACGUACUCCAGCAAUUCCAAGCACUCCGUGUAUGGUUCUUACUCGGUUUUAACUCCAUUUCUUUGAGAUGCAAAUCAGAGGGAUUAUAUUCAGAAGCUGCAUCAGAAAGUCUUUAAUCCAAAUGGGCUAUAAGAUUUAUUUAGAAGAGCCAAAUGUCUUGUCUGGGACAGAAGCAACUGAGCUGAACUGAAACAGAUGGACAUAAAGGAAAUUAAGCAACUCUAAUGGUCUUAUCCAGAGUUUGAAAGUAUUUGGUUUUCCUAAAGCUCGAGCUCCUGGAAGCACGUGAUGAGACGGGAAGCUCAGGUUUCACUUCAAAACAGGCUUUGCAGUUCACUGAGAAAAACAAUAACCAUGUUUUUAUUCCUCCUGUGGACAGAACGAGGGCUGCCUUCCAAAUCCUGACUCCUUGGGCUUAUGUCAUCAGAGGAAAAGAUAUUGAAUGGGAGUUUUGGAGUCCUCAUUUUUACAGCAAUGUCAUCAUUUCAGCAGCCUGGAUUUGAGAUUUUGGGAAAUCUGAUGCUGGCAAUAGGGAUCCCAGGUAGUUUGUUUACUAAAAUAGACAAAACCCAUCCCUUGGUUCUGCUGAGGGUUUGUCCCUUGAAAAUUUCUGCUGUUUCUGGUGGUGAUUUUUAGGUCUCACCUAAGGCUGGGGUUUAACUGGGACACCAGCAC
rnacentral:lncRNA from 1 species